UCCGGGGGGAGCAAGCGUUGUUCGGAUUUACUGGGCGUAAAGGGCGCGUAGGCGGCCAGCGCAAGUCAGUUGUGAAAUCUCCGGGCUUAACUCGGAACGGUCAACUGAUACUGCGCGGCUAGAGUGCAGAAGGGGCAACUGGAAUUCUCGGUGUAGCGGUGAAAUGCGUAGAUAUCGAGAGGAACACCUGCGGCGAAGGCGGGUUGCUGGGCUGACACUGACGCUGAUGCGCGAAAGCCAGGGGAGCGAACGGG
rnacentral:rRNA from 1 species